AUGCUCUCUUCGGCAGCACAUAUACUAAAAUUGGAAUGAUACAGAGAACAUUAGCCUGGCCCCUGCACAAGGAUGAAAAGCAAAUUCAUGAAGUGUUCCAUAUUUAA
rnacentral:snRNA from 1 species